rnacentral:misc_RNA from 1 species
AACCAUUCUCACCUGCGGCUAGACCUGCGGAAGGAUCAUUACAGAGUUGCAAAACUCCCCAAACCAUUGUGAACCUUACCUUCAAACGUUGCUUCGGCGGGCGGGCCACAGCGCCCCCCGGGCCCCCCCAGCGGGGGCGCCCGCCGGAGGAUACCCAAACUCUUGAUACUUUAUGGCCUCUCUGAGUCUUCUGUACUGAAUAAGUCAAAACUUUCAGCAAUGGAUCUCAGAUCGGAAGAG